rnacentral:rRNA from 1 species
UACAGAGGUCUCAAGCGUUGUUCGGAUUCAUUGGGCGUAAAGGGUGCGUAGGCGGCGCGGUAAGUCGGGGGUGAAAUCUCGGAGCUUAACUCCGAAACUGCAUUCGAUACUGCCGUGCUUGAGGACUGGAGAGGAGACUGGAAUUUACGGUGUAGCGGUGAAAUGCGUAGAUAUCGUAAGGAAGACCAGUGGCGAAGGCGGGCCUCUGGACAGUUCCUGACGCUGAGGCACGAAGGCCAGGGGAGCAAACGGG